rnacentral:tRNA from 1 species
UCCCUGUUGGUCCAGUGGUUAGGACUCCGUGUUGUUACUGCUGAGGGCCUGGGUUCAAAAUCCCAGCUCAGGAA